GUCUAUUCUGCCCAUUGAAUAAUAAAUUUAAAAGGCCGCAGUAUUCUGACUGUGCAAAGGUAGCAUAAUCAUUAGUUUUUUAAUUGAAGGCUUGUAUGAAUGAUUGGACAAGAAUUAAGCUGUCUCUUUUGAUUAAAUUUGAAUUUUAUUUUUAAGUGAAAAAGCUUAAAUGAUUAAGAGAGACGAUAAGACCCUAUAAAUCUUUAUGUAAAUCAACUUUUUAAGUUUAAAUAUAAGGUUAAGUUAACUUGAAGAGUCAAUUCAUUAUACUGGGGCGGUAGAGAUAUAAACAAUAAACUGUCAUAAAAAUAAACAUAAAUCUUUGAAAAGUAAAAGAUCCUGUUUUCGGAUUAAAAGAGAAAGUUACUUUAGGGAUAACAGCAUAAUUUCUUUUAAGAGUCCAAAUCGAAAAAGAAGCUUGUGACCUCGAUGUUGAAUUAAGAUAUCCU
rnacentral:rRNA from 1 species